rnacentral:rRNA from 1 species
GACGAACGCUGGCGGCGUGCCUAAUACAUGCAAGUAGAACGCUGAAGGAGGAGCUUGCUUCUCUGGAUGAGUUGCGAACGGGUGAGUAACGCGUAGGUAACCUGCCUGGUAGCGGGGGAUAACUAUUGGAAACGAUAGCUAAUACCGCAUAAUAGUAGAUGUUGCAUGACAUUUGCUUAAAAGGUGCAAUUGCAUCACUACCAGAUGGACCUGCGUUGUAUUAGCUAGUUGGUGAGGUAACGGCUCACCAAGGCGACGAUACAUAGCCGACCUGAGAGGGUGAUCGGCCACACUGGGACUGAGACACGGCCCAGACUCCUACGGGAGGCAGCAGUAGGGAAUCUUCGGCAAUGGACGGAAGUCUGACCGAGCAACGCCGCGUGAGUGAAGAAGGGUUUCGGAUCGUAAAGCUCUGUUGUAAGAGAAGAAAGAGUGUGAGAGUGGAAAGUUCACACUGUGACGGUAUCUUACCAGAAAGGGACGGCUAACUACGUG